rnacentral:rRNA from 1 species
GACGAACGCUGGCGGCGUGCUUAACACAUGCAAGUCGAACGAUGAAGCCGGAGCUUGCUCUGGUGAAUUAGUGGCGAACGGGUGAGUAACACGUGAGUAACCUGCCCUUGACUCUGGGAUAACUGCGGGAAACUGUAGCUAAUACCGGAUACGACCCUCGGAGGCAUCUCCUGGGGGUGGAAAGAAUUUCGGUCAAGGAUGGACUCGCGGCCUAUCAGCUAGUUGGUGAGGUAAAGGCUCACCAAGGCGACGACGGGUAGCCGGCCUGAGAGGGUGAACGGCCACACUGGGACGGUGACACGCCCCAGACUCCUAGGGGAGGCAGCGGUGGGGACUAUUGCACAAUGGGCGCAAGCCUGAUGCAGCAACGCCGCGUGAGGGAUGACGGCCUUCGGGUUGUAAACCUCUUUUAGCAGGGAAGAAGCGAAAGUGACGGUACCUGCAGAAAAAGCACCGGCUACUACGUGCCAGCAGCCGCCGCAG